rnacentral:rRNA from 1 species
GGGGGGGGGGGGGGGGGGGGGGGGGGGGGGGGGGGGGGGCGGGGGGGCCCGGCGGGGGGGGGGGGCGCGGGGGGCGAGCGGUGGAGUAGCCCGUGGCUAACCGGCCAUCUACUGUGGGAGAACUUCCGGCAACGGGGGCUAAGACCGGCGAGGACCUCCCGAUGCCGGGUGGGGGUUGAACAGCUUCGGCGGUGGGGGAUGGACUCGGGGCUGAUCGGCGUUUUGAUGGGGGAUUGGCUUACCAAGGCUUUGACGGGUAGCCGGCCUGCGAGGGUGACCGGCCACAUUGGGACUGAGAUACGGCCCAGACUCCUAGGGGAGGCAGCGGUGGGGAAUAUUGCACAAUGGGCGGAAGCCUGAUGCAGCAACGCCGCGUGCGGGAUGUCGGCCUUCGGGUGGUAAACCGCUUUCGCCUGUGACGAAGCGUGAGUGACGGUAAUGGGUAAAGAAGCACCGGCUAACUACGUG